CCUGAUUUUUCAGAUAUGAUCCUGUUAAGUUGGAUAAAAGUCCCACUGUGAGUUAACUCAACUGGUCUUGGUUGAGUCCUGUUGUUUACUGAGCAGGGCCUCCAGUAGACGGAGCUUUGCUUUGAGGUUCUUAUACUGGCAGUACUCCUCCGCCAUUGGUCCACGGUCCUCUUUCUGACAAGCCCUGUUAAAAAUACACGGAGGAAAGAAGAUGCAAAACAAAAGGCAAAACUUUUUUUGUAGUUUCCAAACAACCUGCAGCAGCUUCCAUAACUGGUUGAUAGUCCCUAUGUUGCCUUACUCAGAUAGCUUUGUACAGUGUGUAUUGUAAUCAAAAACUUACUGGAUUUACUUUGGAGGACUAACAUGUACAUGUACAGUACAAAGGAUGUGCACAGUUCAGAGCAAACGUCUUCUAUCUCUUCGUCUCUUUCCUGAGCUCUCUGUGCUGUAUUAACGUUACGUGAGUGUGCAUUACACUGUCGUACCAUUACGAUGGGAUUUCUUUUGUGGAUGUUUUUUCUUUGUUUUUCACAAGGCAUUGUUGAAAACCACAUGUUCCAAGUUUAUUAAAAGACAAAAUAAAAUUCAAAAAUCAAGUA